CCUUGGUGGAUAAAGUCAGAUGAAAUACAGGUAUUUGGUAACAGAUUUGCAGGUUGUAUAACCAACCGUUGAUUCGACGGAUUGAUGAAAAUUAUCGGAUAGGAAUUGUUAAGCGUGUCGAAAAAGAGUACACCUGCGUUGCACCGUAUCUUGUAUGAUUGGUCUCCGCAGGUGGGGUUUGUGCUGAGUGGGUAGGGGACUGAGGUAAGGCCACAGUUGGGGCAUUGUUUGGCUGAAAAUGUGCAUAUGACAGAGGAAAAAAGCAGC
rnacentral:misc_RNA from 1 species